CUCAUGUAUAACCAUGUUCACGUCUCUCUCCCCUGAAAUACUAUCAGCCCAAUGGGGUCCAAUAAUUUCUUUACUAUUAAAUCCUGAGUGUAAGCACAGGGCCUAGCACAUAAGGGGUGGUCAAAAAAUGUGGUUUGAAUGGAUGACUGAACCCAGUGGCUUCCACAGCCUUUCAGUCCCUCCCCUCUUAAAUCCUGUUUCUCUGCACACAAAAGUCUUGAUGGUGGCUGAGGCAUCCUGGCAGAUAGCUGACUUCAUUCUCACAGUAGUCUGCUUCAGACCUAUUUCUCUGUUAGGUGAACAAGAUCCUGCGGGUCCCUGAUCAGCACUGCAGACUUCCUGCAGCUGCAACAUCUCAAGAGUGGUGAGGUGGAGUCUGUUCCUGGGGCAUCCUGCCAUGUCCCCUGUAAAAUAGAAGGGCAAGGGUUAUGUAGCUCAUGUCAGGAGCUCCUCACUGUGCUGUCAUAGCAAGGCCCCCAGGUGAGCUGGCACAGGUGGUAGAAUCAAGAGUGAAGAGGAGCAGAAACAGACAUGAGCUAAAAGCCUGUCCUGCCCCUUGUUCCAUAUUCCAGGUGCUCUCCAAGUCCUUGGCGAGCUGUUUAGGUAGCAGGCUCUAUAAUGGCUUUCAAAGUAACGGGGCAGCGAUGCAGAGAGAGUGAAGAGACUUGCCAGACAGAAAAGGCGGGGAAAAGGUCCGAACAGUUUUCACACCUCAGCCCAAGAGAUACUAAACUACAAAGAGCCAGUGUAAGCUGAGAUGGUUUCAAAUCCCAGUUGGCCACUUAUGAGAUUCCCCUCCUUGAGUAUGGACAAGAGUCACCCACUUCACAGGGAGGAGGGAUUAAGGGGGGAAGCCCUUGUGUAACACGGGCUCAAGGCGAACACUCAAAGACUCAAUGAACGGUAGUUUCUGUUAUUACUGUCACUGAACACGUCGAUUGACUGUGACACAAAUUCCACCUCUUUACCCAAAAUCUCCCACCUGUGAGCUUAGUGAGGCCCAGUCUCAGCAGCCAGUGUGAUUCUCCCAGCACCAGGGCCGGUGGACUUCACCUUCUCCAGUCACAGAUGGGGCUACCAAGUCACAUAGGGGUCUGCUCGGGCUUCCAUAAGAAAAUACCACUGCCUCAGUGGCU
rnacentral:lncRNA from 1 species